AGCGAACGCUGGCGGCAGGCCUAACACAUGCAAGUCGAACGAAGUCUUCGGACUUAGUGGCGGACGGGUGAGUAACACGUGGGAACGUGCCUUUAGGUUCGGAAUAACUCAGGGAAACUUGUGCUAAUACCGAAUGUGCCCUUCGGGGGAAAGGUUUAUCGCCUUUAGAGCGGCCCGCGUCUGAUUAGCUAGUUGGUGAGGUAAAGGCUCACCAAGGCGACGAUCAGUAGCUGGUCUGAGAGGAUGAUCAGCCACAUUGGGACUGAGACACGGCCCAAACUCCUACGGGAGGCAGCAGUGGGGAAUCUUGCGCAAUGGGCGAAAGCCUGACGCAGCCAUGCCGCGUGAAUGAUGAAGGUCUUAGGAUUGUAAAAUUCUUUCACCGGGGACGAUAAUGACGGUACCCGGAGAAGAAGCCCCGGCUAACUUCGUGCCAGCAGCCGCAGUAAUAC
rnacentral:rRNA from 1 species